rnacentral:lncRNA from 12 species
GAAUCCAAAGGCAAAUUCCUCCCAUUAACGCAUAAUAUUUACUUUGAAGGAAGGCAGAGGUUAAUUCUUGGGGCAAAAGUCCAUCAGAUUGGUAACAUUUUCUAACUUCCGAGGUUCAUUUUACUCCCUUGAAACUCUAUGAUACUUCAAUUGUGUUUUAUGCCUUAGAUCUUGGCUCUUGGAGGAAUGCUCCUUUUAUAAAUAGCACAAGGUCACAUGUUACCAAAGUCUGACAAUUCACAGGGGAUAUUUUUGUGAGGGGCUGCAGCUGUCUCAGAUUCUACUGAUACAGGAGCAGCCUGGAAUGCUUCCCUGGAUUGUGUACCUCGACAUGGCAGUGAGAUUUCCACGGGUCAUUCCUCUGCCCCCGCAAAGAGUUCACAGCGGGUAGGAGGGAUAUGGGAGUUGGG